rnacentral:rRNA from 1 species
AUACGGAGGGUGCAAGCGUCAUCCGGAAUUAUUGGGUUUAAAGGGUCCGUAGGCGGCUAGAUAAGUCAGUGGUGAAAUUCUCUCGCUCAACGAGAGACCUGCCAUUGAUACUGUCUUGGCUAGAGUUACAGUGAGGUGAGUGGAAUGUGUAGUGUAGCGGUGAAAUGCAUAGAUAUUACACAGAACACCGAUUGCGAAGGCAGCUCACUAACUGUAUACUGACGCUGAUGGACGAAAGCGUGGGGAGCAAACAGGAUUAGAAACCCCAGUAGUCC